CAUAAAUUAAAACCUUAAUUCACAUAUUACAAAAGGUGAACAUUUGUGCGAUGCAACCUUUUGCAAUAUGUGAAUUUUUUUCUUUAUGAUCAACAUCACACUUUUUGGAGGUAAUACACAUGCAACAAGGUACAGUUAAAUGGUUCAACGCAGAAAAAGGUUUCGGUUUCAUCGAAGUUGAAGGCGGCAGCGACGUAUUCGUUCACUUCAGCGCUAUCCAAGGCGACGGCUUCAAAACGUUGGACGAAGGCCAACGCGUUGAGUUCACAAUCGCUCAAGGCAACCGCGGACCACAAGCUGAGAACGUUGUAAAACUGUAGUACUCAGCUACCUAUAGAAACAGCCCCUAACUUCGGUUAGGGGCUGUUUU
rnacentral:sRNA from 1 species